rnacentral:rRNA from 1 species
UCGAGCGGAUGACGGGAGCUUGCUCCUUGAUUCAGCGGCGGACGGGUGAGUAAUGCCUAGGAAUCUGCCUGGUAGUGGGGGACAACGUUUCGAAAGGAACGCUAAUACCGCAUACGUCCUACGGGAGAAAGCAGGGGACCUUCGGGCCUUGCGCUAUCAGAUGAGCCUAGGUCGGAUUAGCUAGUAGGUGAGGUAAUGGCUCACCUAGGCGACGAUCCGUAACUGGUCUGAGAGGAUGAUCAGUCACACUGGAACUGAGACACGGUCCAGACUNNUACGGGAGGCAGCAGUGGGGAAUAUUGGACAAUGGGCGAAAGCCUGAUCCAGCCAUGCCGCGUGUGUGAAGAAGGUCUUCGGAUUGUAAAGCACUUUAAGUUGGGAGGAAGGGCAGUAAGUUAAUACCUUGCUGUUUUGACGUUACCGACAGAAUAAGCACCGGCUAACUCUGUGCCAGCAGCCGCGGUAAUACAGAGGGUGCAAGCGUUAAUCGGAAUUACUGGGCGUAAAGCGCGCGUAGGUGGUUCGUUAAGUUGGAUGUGAAAGCCCCGGGCUCAACCUGGGAACUGCAUCCAAAACUGGCGAGCUAGAGUAUGGUAGAGGGUGGUGGAAUUUCCUGUGUAGCGGUGAAAUGCGUAGAUAUAGGAAGGAACACCAGUGGCGAAGGCGACCACCUGGACUGAUACUGACACUGANGU